AGAGCGAACGCUGGCGGCAGGCCUAAUACAUGCAAGUCGAACGCACCUUCGGGUGAGUGGCGGACGGGUGAGUAACACGUGGGAACGUGCCCUUUGGUUCGGAAUAAUCCGGGGAAACCUGGCCUAAUACCGGAUGUGCCCUUCGGGGGAAAGAUUUAUCGCCAUUGGAGCGGCCCGCGUCUGAUUAGCUUGUUGGUGGGGUAAUGGCCCACCAAGGCUACGAUCAGUAGCUGGUCUGAGAGGAUGAUCAGCCACACUGGGACUGAGACACGGCCCAGACUCCUACGGGAGGCAGCAGUAGGGAAUCUUGCGCAAUGGGCGAAAGCCUGACGCAGCCAUGCCGCGUGAAUGAUGAAGGUCUUAGGAUUGUAAAAUUCUUUCAGCGGGAAGAUAAUGACUGUACCCGCAGAGAAGCUCCGGCUAACUUCGUGCCAGCAGCCGC
rnacentral:rRNA from 1 species